rnacentral:lncRNA from 1 species
GAGACGAGGUCCCUUAUGUCUUUGAUGUAGUUUGUUUUUCCCUUAUCACUGGUGUAGUUCGUCGCUUUUCCUUUUUAUCUCCCCUUUUCUUUUUUAUAUUUGGGCGAGGGUUUUCUCUCUGCUCUUAGCGGGGUUGUGGGGAUGUAGAGGAGCCAUUGAGAAGGUUUUUCUCCUCAUCCGAUCUUGAACGAUCAGGUCU